GUGACAGAUAGUCUCUUUCUUUGCGGUCUUCUACCGAGUAACUGGUAGUUGUAAAUCAUAUUUGGCUUUUCCUCAGCAGGUUAUUCUUACCCAGUAACUGGUAAUGAAUACACCUUAUGUUUCCCUCAGCGAGUCAUCCUUGAUAUGUUUACCCUAACCGGUAACGGAUGUCCUCUCUAUCAGAUUAUUAUCCCCUUACCUAGUAACCGGUAGUGGAUACUAUACUUUUGUUACUCCUAUGUCGAAUUUUAU
rnacentral:lncRNA from 1 species